UACGUAGGCAGCAAGCGUUGUUCGGAAUUACUGGGCGUAAAGCGAGUGUAGGCGGUUGCCCAAGUCAGGUGUGAAAGCCUUGAGCUCAACUCAAGAAAUGCACUUGGUACUGGGUGGCUAGAGGACUGGAGAGGAUAGUGGAAUUCCCAGUGUAGUGGUGAAAUACGUAGAGAUUGGGAAGAACACCAGUGGCGAAGGCGGCUAUCUGGACGGUUACUGACGCUAAGACUCGAAAGCGUGGGGAGCAAACAGG
rnacentral:rRNA from 1 species